UCUGAUAUGGUGUAACAGUAACAUACGCGCCUCUCAUCCCAUAAGGACUCUAGUGUUUUCGCGUGUGCCUGGGGUUUGAUUCCCUGUAUCGGAA